CCUACGGGUGGCAGCAGUGAGGAAUAUUGGUCAAUGGGCGGAAGCCUGAACCAGCCAUGCCGCGUGCAUGAAGAAGGCCCUACGGGUCGUAAACCGCUUUUGUACGGGGGUAACACCCUACACUAGUAGAGGUCUGCAGGUACCGUACGAAUAAGGGCCGGCUAAUUCCGUGCCAGCAGCCGCGGUAAUACGGAAGGGCCGAGCGUUAUCCGGAUUUAUUGGGCUUAAAGGGAGCGUCGGGGGGCGGUUAAGUUAGCUGGGAAAUCCCGGGGCUCAACUGGGGAAUGGCAGUUGAUACUGGACGGCUUGAGUGCAGAACGGGCAGGCGGAAUGCGUGGUGUAGCGGUGAAAUGCAUAGAGAUCACGAGGAACCCCGAUUGCGAAGGCAGCCUGCCGGGGUGCGACUGACGCUGAGGCUCGAAGGUGUGGGGAGCAAACAGGAUUAGAUACCCCUGUAGUC
rnacentral:rRNA from 1 species